AUUGAACGCUGGCGGCAUGCUUUACACAUGCAAGUCGAACGGCAGCACGGGUGCUUGCACCUGGUGGCGAGUGGCGAACGGGUGAGUAAUGCAUCGGAACGUGCCUAUUAGUGGGGGAUAACGCUUCGAAAGGAGUGCUAAUACCGCAUAAUCUCUGAGGAGGAAAGCGGGGGACCUUAGGGCCUCGCGCUGAUAGAGCGGCCGAUGUCGGAUUAGCUAGUUGGUGAGGUAAAGGCUCACCAAGGCGACGAUCCGUAGCGGGUCUGAGAGGAUGAUCCGCCACACUGGGACUGAGACACGGCCCAGACUCCUACGGGAGGCAGCAGUGGGGAAUUUUGGACAAUGGGCGCAAGCCUGAUCCAGCCAUGCCGCGUGAGUGAAGAAGGCCUUCGGGUUGUAAAGCUCUUUUGUCCGGGAGCAAGUCCUACUGGCUAAUAUCUGGUGGGGAUGAGAGUACUGGAAGAAUAAGCACCGGCUAACUACGUG
rnacentral:rRNA from 1 species